rnacentral:rRNA from 1 species
AACGAACGCUGGCGGCAUGCCUAACACAUGCAAGUCGAACGAGACCUUCGGGUCUAGUGGCGCACGGGUGCGUACCGCGUGGGAACCUGCCCUUAGGUUCGGAAUAACUCCCCGAAAGGGGUGCUAAUACCGGAUAAUGUCUUCGGACCAAAGAUUUAUCGCCUUUGGAUGGGCCCGCGUUGGAUUAGCUAGUUGGUAGGGUACAAGCCUACCAAGGCGACGAUCCAUAGCUGGUCUGAGAGGAUGAUCAGCCACACUGGGACUGAGGCACGGCCCAGACUCGUACGGGAGGCAGCAGUGGGGAAUAUUGGGCAAGGGGCGAAAGCCUGAUCCAGCAAUGCCGCGUGAGUGAUGAAGGCCUUAGGGUUGUAAAUCUCUUUGACCCGAGAUGAUAAUGACAGUACCGGGAGAAGAAGCUCCGGCUAACUCCGUG